rnacentral:rRNA from 1 species
UGCUACCUACGGGGGGCAGCAGUGGGGAAUAUUGCACAAUGGGGGAAACCCUGAUGCAGCAACGCCGCGUGAGUGAAGAAGUCAUUCGUGAUGUAAAGCUCUAUCAGCAGGGAAGAAAAUGACGGUACCUGAGUAAGAAGCCCCGGCUAACUACGUGCCAGCAGCCGCGGUAAUACGUAGGGGGCAAGCGUUAUCCGGAUUUACUGGGUGUAAAGGGAGUGCAGGCGGGACUGCAAGUUGGAUGUGAAAUACCGCAGCUUAACUGCGGAGCUGCAUCCAAAACUGUAGUUCUUGAGUGG